rnacentral:rRNA from 1 species
AUUGAACGCUGGCGGCAUGCCUUACACAUGCAAGUCGAACGGUAACAGGCCGCAAGGUGCUGACGAGUGGCGAACGGGUGAGUAAUACAUCGGAACGUGCCCGAUCGUGGGGGAUAACGCAGCGAAAGCUGUGCUAAUACCGCAUACGAUCUACGGAUGAAAGCGGGGGAUCGCAAGACCUCGCGCGGACGGAGCGGCCGAUGGCAGAUUAGGUAGUUGGUGGGGUAAAGGCCUACCAAGCCGACGAUCUGUAGCUGGUCUGAGAGGACGACCAGCCACACUGGGACUGAGACACGGCCCAGACUCCUACGGGAGGCAGCAGUGGGGAAUUUUGGACAAUGGGCGCAAGCCUGAUCCAGCCAUGCCGCGUGCAGGAUGAAGGCCUUCGGGUUGUAAACUGCUUUUGUACGGAACGAAAAGGUUUCUUUUAAUACAGGGAACUGAUGACGGUACCGUAAGAAUAAGCACCGGCUAACUACGUGCCAGCAGCCGCGGUAAUACGUAGGGUGCGAGCGUUAAUCGGAAUUACUGGGCGUAAAGCGUGCGCAGGCGGUGAUGUAAGACAGAGGUGAAAUCCCCGGGCUCAACCUGGGAACUGCCUUUGUGACUGCAUCGCUGGAGUGCGGCAGAGGGGGAUGGAAUUCCGCGUGUAGCAGUGAAAUGCGUAGAUAUGCGGAGGAACACCGAUGGCGAAGGCA